AAGAUGUUGCAGAUGGCUGAGGUAUGGCGCGAAGAGCGUGUUCAAAUGAAGUUGGUUGAUGCAAAGGUGUUACUUGAAGAGAAAUAUUCUCAGAUGAACAGGCUUGUAGCAGAUUUAGAAAAUUUUCUAAGAUCCAGAAGUGCAGCACCAGAUUUGAAGGAAAUGAGAGAAGUAGAAUCACUUGUACAUGCUGCUGCCUCUGUGAAUAUUCAGGACAUAAAGGAUUUCACAUAUGAGCCGCCUAACCCAGACGAUAUUUUCUCUGUUUUUGAAGAAUUUAAUUCUGGUGAUCCUAAUGAGAGGGAGAUUGAGCAAUGUGUUGCCUACAGUCCUGCCAGCCAUGCCGCAAAAAUUCAUACUGUGAGUCCUGAAGUGAAUCUGAUAAACAAAGAUGGCAGCCAUAGGCAUUCUGAUGCAUUUGUUGACCAGAACGGUGAUAUAGAAGAAGAUGAGAGUGGGUGGGAAACCGUGAGCCAUCUCGAGGAUCAGGGCUCAAGUUACUCCCCAGAAGGAAGUAUCCCAUCUGUUAACAGGAAUCGCCGGGACAGUAACGUCUCAGCGAGUGGAACAGAUUGGGAAGAGAAUGCAUUUGAUGAAACCCCGCUUACUGAAAUCAGCGAACUCUGUUCUGUGCCAACAAGACAGCUGAAGAAGGUUUCAUCCAUUGCAAAGCUUUGGAGAUCAUGCCCGAACAACGGGGAUAACUACAAUAUAAUCUCAGUAGAUGGUAUGAACGGCAGAACUUCUAAUGGAAGGAAAUCUAAUGGGGGCAUUGUGUCUCCAGAUAUUGUGUCAGGUAAAGGUGGACUGAGCCCAGAUUUGGUGGGGCAAUGGAGUUCACCUGACUCUGGUAACCCUCACAUAAGUCGAGGAAUGAAAGGUUGCAUUGAAUGGCCGCGUGGAACACAUAAGAGCAGCUUGAAGGCAAAGCUUAUGGAGGCAAGGAGGGAGAGCCAGAAAGUGCAAUUGCGCCAUGUUCUUAAACAGAAGAUCUAGACGUAGAUGUAGUGAUUAUUAUGAAAAUUGCAGAGAAAAGCCAGAUGGAAAUAAGUAGUGUCAUGUGAGAUGGUGCAGGUAGCGGUAACCCAUUUUCUUGUUGUAAAUGCUCAAAAGGAUAAAAAUGCAUCGUGGGCUUCGUGGACUAAAAAGCCCCAUUUGGUAUACAUGUAACGCUUUUUGCUAAAUGCAUUUAGAGGAGAUUCUGCCCAUGCAAGUAUUAUGCUUAUGCAGAAUGCUUCUUUGACUACUUUGUACUGGGGGACCAUUAUUUUGCCUUGCUCUUUUAGGGAGUGCUUGUUAUGUUGGCUAAGAUAUACUUUCCACACUACGAUUAUAUUUGUACUUGGCCUUCUCACCUUUCU
rnacentral:misc_RNA from 1 species